GCCCCCGUGGCGUAACUGGUUAACGCGCACGCCUUUUAAGCGUUGAGAUUGUGGGUUCGAGUCCCACCGGGGGCA
rnacentral:tRNA from 1 species